rnacentral:rRNA from 1 species
UAGAGUUUGAUCAUGGCUCAGAUUGAACGCUGGCGGCAGGCUUAACACAUGCAAGUCGAGCGGAAACGAUGAAAAGCUUGCUUUUCAGGCGUCGAGCGGCGGACGGGUGAGUAAUGCUUGGGAAUAUGCCUUAUGGUGGGGGGCAACAGUUGGAAACGACUGCUAGUACCGCAUAACGUCUACGGACCAAAGGGGGGGAUCUUCGGACCUCUCGCCAUUUGAUUAGCCCAAGUGAGAUUAGCUAGUAGGUGAGGUAAAGGCUCACCUAGGCGACGAUCUCUAGCUGGCUUGAGAGGAUGAUCAGCCACACUGGGACUGAGACACGGCCCAGACUCCUACGGGAGGCAGCAGUGGGGAAUAUUGCACAAUGGGGGAAACCCUGAUGCAGCCAUGCCGCGUGUGUGAAGAAGGCCUUCGGGUUGUAAAGCACUUUCAGUUGUGAGGAAAGGGUAUUGGUUAAUAGCCAAUGUCUGUGACGUUAACAACAGAAGAAGCACCGGCUAACUUCGUGCCAGCAGCCGCGGUAAUACGAGGGGUGCAAGCGUUAAUCGGAAUUACCGGGCGUAAAGCGUACGUAGGCGGUUUGUUAAGCAAGAUGUGAAAGCCCAGGGCUCAACCUUGGAACUGCAUUUUGAACUGGCAAACUAGAGUACUGUAGAGGGGGGUAGAAUUUCA